rnacentral:lncRNA from 1 species
CAAGCCCUGCAGGACACACACACACACAAGCAUGUGCACACACACGUGGCCCUUCAAUGUCACCUCAGCUGUGGGUUAGGAGCCACACCUGUCCACACCUGGUGUUACAACCAUCUGCUCCAUUUCAGCUGGAGUGCAGAUGCCAUGCUGGACACUGAGACCACAGUGGGGACCAGACAGACGGGAUGCCACACUGGACACUGAGACCACAGUGGGGACCAGGGGAGAAUGCCACGCUGGACACUGAGACCACAGUGGGGACCAGACAGACCGGAUGCCACACUGGCCACUAAGACCACAGUGGGGACCAGACAGAUUGGAUGC